rnacentral:lncRNA from 1 species
UCCAUUCCUAUCAAAAUACCCCUUUGCUCUUAGGCACAUCUAGUAGAAAAAAAUGGUGAAUAAAAUGAAAUGUUAUAGUGAAACACACUUUCUUCUCCAUCUAGAGACACUUCCUCCCCACUUUCACGGGGGUGUUGGGUAGCUGUGGGUUAGUAUACAAGCUGCCCUAUUUGCAUUUUUUUUUUAAGCUAUGCCACUGUGACCUCUACUGUCUGACAUCCUCCAUUUCUGAUUUUCCAACUGCACGAAGAUAUUUUGGCUGUCUUUUUUUGUGUCAUACAUCUAGAUGGAUGAGAGCAUUAGAGACUAAAGAACAGAUCUCAAAUCCUGCACAUCACGUAGACCACUCCCUUGAUUGUCAUCACUUACUCUAUUGCAAGCUUUGUAACAUGAUGGAACCAAAGAAAUCUCUCUUCUACCAGACAGUAAGAACCUAGGUUGCUGGGACAACAUGUCAACUGCAAAAAAACCCCUUAAAAUAAAGGUGGCUCAUUUCCAAG